rnacentral:rRNA from 1 species
AAAGUCUGACCGAGCAACGCCGCGUGAGUGAAGAAGGUUUUCGGAUCGUAAAGCUCUGUUGUAAGUCAAGAACGUGUGUGAGAGUGGAAAGUUCACACAGUGACGGUAGCUUACCAGAAAGGGACGGCUAACUACGUGCCAGCAGCCGCGGUAAUACGUAGGUCCCGAGCGUUGUCCGGAUUUAUUGGGCGUAAAGGGAGCGCAGGCGGUCAGGAAAGUCUGGAGUAAAAGGCUAUGGCUCAACCAUAGUGUGCUCUGGAAACUGUCUGACUUGAGUGCAGAAGGGGAGAGUGGAAUUCCAUGUGUAGCGGUGAAAUGCGUAGAUAUAUGGAGGAACACCAGUGGCGAAAGCGGCUCUCUGGUCUGUCACUGACGCUGAGGCUCGAAAGCGUGGGUAGCGAACAGGAUUAGAUACCCUGGUAGUCACGCCGUAAACGAUGAGUGCUAGGUGUUAGGCCCUUUCCGGGGCUUAGUGCCGGAGCUAACGCAAUAAGCACUCCGCCUGGGGAGUACGACCGCAAGGUUGAAACUCAAAGGAAUUGACGGGGGCCCGCACAAGCGGUGGAGCAUGUGGUUUAAUUCGAAGCAACGCGAAGAACCUUACCAGGUCU